rnacentral:rRNA from 1 species
AUGGGCCAAGCUUCUGUUGCUAUGCCAUCUGUGCAGGUUAGUUCUUUAUAUGCGCCCCUGGAUCUCACUGGGCUGGUGUCUAAAUUCUCUUGGGCCGAGAUUGUCAAUGCCAUUGAUAGGUCUCCCAAUAACAAGAGCCCAGUAGCGGAUGGCUUUACUAAUGAGUUCUACAAGGCGUUCAAGCAUGUUCUCAGGCAUGAUAUUCUCCGGUUCUUUGCUGAUUUUCAUUGCAAUAGAGUAUCCUUAGAUGGCAUCAACACAACAUACAUCACUCUGCUUCCCAAGAAGGACACUCCGCUUGAGAUACGUGACUUCAUGCCUAUUUCUUUGGUUCACAGCAUGCCAAAGCUUGCUUCCAAGGUGCUGACAAACAGGUUGCAAAAUAGAGCCCCAGAGUUGGUGCAUUCCUUGCAAUCUGGUUUUUGUGAGUUAGAUCAAUCAUGGAAAACUUUGCUCUGGCAACUGAGUUGGUACAGUGUGCUCACAAAAGGAGAUUGCCAGUUAUUGCUCUAA